GCUGUUACAAAGGCGUUUAGUUUAUUCUCAUCAGUAUUACUGAUAUUCUCAUGGUUCACAUUUGCCAACGCCACUCCUCUCCUUACAGUAGUUAAAUGUGCAAUCUCACUUGGGGGCCCAGGGAGGGGUGGGGGUUGGGGAGGCAGAGAGGCAGGGAGGACGAGGGCCAGAAACGCAAACAAGGAUGUGGAUGUUGAAAUGACACCCCGCAUAGGGGGAUGGGGAGUUAAAAAAGAAAAAAAACUCUGCCUUCACAUGAAAAUCUAAAACAACAACAAAAAACCACCCACUCUGGGCAAGAACAAAAAGAGAGGAAUGGUAAAAGAGAAAAUUCUGCAAACAACUGCUAACAAUGGAAGUGGACCCGGCCCUGCCCUGCCCUGCCCAGCCCCCAGGAGCUGGGCCCAGCCAACCAGCCAAGGCCUGGGACACCCUUAAACUAUAGCCCUGC
rnacentral:antisense_RNA from 1 species